CAAUAGCGUAUAUUAAAGUUGUUGCGGUUAAAAAGCUCGUAGUUGGAUUUCUGUGGAGGACGGCCGGUCCGCAUUUUGUGCGUGUAUCUGGUACGGCCUUUGCAUCCUCUUGUGGAACGUUACGGUGCUUGAUUGCAUUGUGCGGAAUGCAAGACUUUUACUUUGAGGAAAUUAGAGUGUUCACGGCAGGCAUGCGCCUUGAAUAUAUUAGCAUGGAAUAAUAAUAUAGGCUCCUCGCCCUAUUUUGUUGGUUUCUAGGACCGAAGUAAUGAUUAAUAGGGACAGUUGGGGGCAUUUUUAUUCCAUUGUCAGAGGUGAAAUUCUUGGAUUAACGGAAGAAAAACUACUGCGAAAGCAUCUGCCAAGGAUGUUUUCAUUGAUCAAGAACGAAAGUUAGGGGAUCGAAGACGAUCAGAUACCAU
rnacentral:rRNA from 1 species